UACGUAGGGGGCGAGCGUUAUCCGGAAUUAUUGGGCGUAAAGGGUUCGCAGGUGGUCCUUUAAGUCAGGUGUGAAAGGCAGUGGCUCAACCAUUGCAAGCACCUGAAACUGAAGGACUUGAGUACAGGAGAGGAAAGCGGAAUUCCUAGUGUAGCGGUGAAAUGCGUAGAUAUUAGGAGGAACACCAGUGGCGAAGGCGGCUUUCUGGACUGAAACUGACACUGAGGAACGAAAGCGUGGGGAGCAAACAGGAUUAGAUACCCUGGUAGUCCCUGA
rnacentral:rRNA from 1 species